rnacentral:rRNA from 1 species
UACGAAGGGGGCUAGCGUUGCUCGGAAUCACUGGGCGUAAAGCGCACGUAGGCGGAUUGUUAAGUCAGGGGUGAAAUCCUGGAGCUCAACUCCAGAACUGCCUUUGAUACUGGCGAUCUUGAGUCCGGGAGAGGUGAGUGGAACUCCGAGUGUAGAGGUGAAAUUCGUAGAUAUUCGGAAGAACACCAGUGGCGAAGGCGGCUCACUGGCCCGGUACUGACGCUGAGGCACGAAAGCGUGGGGAGCAAACAGGG